rnacentral:rRNA from 1 species
UUACCCCGGCUGUGAAAAUUAGCAUAUCAAUAAGCGGAGGAAAAGAAACCAACAGGGAUUGCCCUAGUAACGGCGAGUGAAGCGGCAACAGCUCAAAUUUGAAAUCUGGCUCUUUCAGAGUCCGAGUUGUAAUUUGCAGAGGGCGCUUUGGCUUUGGCAGCGGUCCAAGUUCCUUGGAACAGGACGUCACAGAGGGUGAGAAUCCCGUACGUGGUCGCUAGCUAUUGCCGUGUAAAGCCCCUUCGACGAGUCGAGUUGUUUGGGAAUGCAGCUCUAAAUGGGAGGUAAAUUUCUUCUAAAGCUAAAUAUUGGCCAGAGACCGAUAGCGCACAAGUAGAGUGAUCGAAAGAUGAAAAGCACUUUGGAAAGAGAGUCAAACAGCACGUGAAAUUGUUGAAAGGGAAGCGCUUGCAGCCAGACUUGCUUGCAGUUGCUCAUCCGGGCUUUUGCCCGGUGCACUCUUCUGUAGGCAGGCCAGCAUCAGUUUGGGCGGUGGGAUAAAGGUCUCUGACACGUUCCUUCCUUCGGGUUGGCCAUAUAGGGGAGACGACAUACCACCAGCCUGGACUGAGGUCCGCGCAUCUGCUAGGAUGCUGGCGUAAUGGCUGUAAGCGGCCCGUCUUGAAACACGGACCAAGGAGUCUAACAUCUAUGCGAGUGUUUGGGUGUCAAGCCCGAACGCGUAAUGAAAGUGAACGGAGGUGGGAACCCGCAAGGGCGCACCAUCGACCGAUCCUGAAGUUUACGGAAGGAUUUGAGUAAGAGCAUGGCUGUUGGGACCCGAAAGAUGGUGAACUAUGCUUGAAUAGGGUGAAGCCAGAGGAAACUCUGGUGGAGGCUCGCAGCGGUUCUGACGUGCAAAUCGAUCGUCAAAUUUGGGCAUAGGGGCGAAAGACUAAUCGAACCAUCAAUGGGCAA